UGAUAGCGUGCAAGAUUCGUUCAUUCAGUUUCAUCCAAUCAACGCCUCUGUCCUCUCACGCGCUGACUAGCAGACGACAGAAGCAGACGACAUUAAGAGCAGACGUGAAAGAGCAGAAGUGAGAUUGACGCCGUGAAUACUAACACAAAAUGAGUACCUGGGCAAUAUCAUGUCUUGUGACAGUUUGUUCAAUCUACCUUGCGUCCGGGUAUCCAGACAGCGCGGAGCAGACAGAGGGAGUAGCGUUCAGGGCCUUGCCGGACAGCCUAUUCCUUUCAAAAUUAAUCAACUUCCUGUCACGUGAUUUUGACGCACAGCCAUCAUUAUCAAAACGAGGCUUGGGACAUUGUAUCAACAACUGUAUGCGCGGCCGCGGAGGAAUGAACUUCAUACAAUGCAAGUCUAUGUGCCACUGAUCCCCACUUGUCCCAAACUCAACGAUGUAAUCAUGUUCGUCCAAUCACAAGCAAGCAAGCCAGUUACCAAGGAGAUGACCUCUUGACCUCUUUCUCCUCAGUUGUAUGAAGCGCCAUAACGGACCUCCCUGCAUUGUUGGAUAUUGUUUCAAGGUCACUCUGAACCUCACUGGGAACACAGGAGGGUGUGGUGCACUGUGACGGUAUUCUUAUUGACACUUACAAACUGGAAUAUUUCUCGAAACCGAGGAUGUAAAUGUUCAUUUUCUAUGAAUCUCUAACGUGUUCCUACUUUUUCUAUUAUCAUGAUUUUUUAGGGGCCAAUUAAAUUUUGAGUUCACAUAAAAAUGUCAUUUUGUAGGUUAUUUAAUGACGACUAUGUGCACGUCAUCGGAUCUCGGGCCUGCGCGUGAACUGAUACUGGCACAUUAUCUUUGAUAACAAAAUUAUUUUACACAUCUAUAAGCAAAAGAAAUUAUUUGUUUUUUGUUCUGUUUUUAGUUUACGUAAAUGUACAUGCUAUUCUUCACCAAGUCCAAACACAUCCCUAUUUACCAUUACCGGUUUGCAUUGCUGAUAUUAAGCUUGGUUGUCUCCCUUGGAGCGCACUGUGACCUGAUUUUCUUCUGAGUCUGGAUGCUGGGACAGGGCAUCUGAAUAAAGGGAUGGAGUCUAUUUAUUCAAAGAA